GAUGAGGUAGUUCAGUGGAAGAAUUUCCGGCUCUCACCCGGUUGGUCGCAGGUUCGAGCCCUGCCCUCAUCC
rnacentral:tRNA from 1 species